rnacentral:lncRNA from 1 species
GGUGAUUAAAAACAUACUAGAUCUUUGACACACAGUCUAAGAGAACUGGCCUGAGUAGAAAGGUCCUUGCUCCUUCCUUGUUCUGCCCGUGUCCCCUUCCCUCUCCCUCUUUUGAGAUGACUCAUCCCUCAUGCUGCUGUGAUGGUAAAAUACUUAUGUGGUGAUUCAUCUUUUAAGAGGUUUAUACCUAGCCGUGCAAUCAGGCUGCCAGCCCUUCCCACAUACGCUGAGCUGUGCCAUCCCUGGUGCCCAGAAACACUCAGCUGAUAUCCUUGGCUGCCGUGGUGGGUCCUUGCCUACAGCUUUGUGUCCUGGUCAUAAAUCAAGUCAGUAAGUGUUUAUCGAGUGCUCAGUCUCAGUCUGGGAGCAGUGAACUGUCCGGUUGGCACCGGAGAGUGGGGACAGAAGCUUCUUAUCCACGGGUUUUAUUAUCCCCAUUUCUGGAGAAGUGAACGUGCCUAAGGUGCUCAGCUAGUAAGGGGUACAUUUGAACUCAAGUCUCCUUGAUAUUAAGAUGAAAGGUAAGUGAGGAGUGGCAGAGAGGAUCCCUGGGAAGUUCAGGUGAAUUCUGAAGCUGGCCCGCUGCCCCAGCAGGGUUUUUCCACUCCUCUCUUGAGUGCAAUGCCUGAGUGAGCUGGGUCUAUGUCAUGUGUGAGACUGGAUAUGGGACUGGACAGACACAGCUUCAGGUACUAUGGGUGAGAAAGUGCUGGCCAGGCCUUCCCUUCUGUAGUUCUGCCCUGCAGACUUGGGCCAAAGAAGAACCAGGAUAUUGUUCAAGUCGUCCAGUUCACAGAUGUAGGCACAUAGCUGGGGCUGGAUUCAAAGAGAAGAUCUGGCCAUGGAGCUCAGGACAACCUAGAACCUGGACCCUAUUCCAAGACUCUGCAGUGAUCCUAGACAAGUGAGAAGGAUACAAACAGAAGAGACAGAGGGCACCGCAAGGAGGACCUGGUCCAGUGCUCUGUGAUACUGAAGGGGAAUUAAACUUUAAGUAAAGGACCUCCAAGAAUGCCCUCCAAAACCAAGUGGACAUGCCCCAGCAGGCCUGAUAACAGAACACUUCUUCCUUUGUGUGACCCCUGUGUUUAUUGUCUUUGUGUAACUGAUGGCCUUGCAAUGUAACCUGAGAUGUUUAAACUCCUUUGGAAACCUAUGAUGUCACUCAGUCGUCCAAUCAUAAUGCACCAAAUCUGCUGUUGUACCUCCUACUUGCUCUCCCCUUAAAAGUCCUGAAACCCCCACUGGGUGGGGCUCUGACUCUUUGGGAGCCUUUCCAGUCAGACCCACCAGUGUAAUAAAGUUGCUGUCUCCUAGACCUCCUCAGUGCAGCAUCUUCCUGCGUUUGGCCCAUUUUGCUGUAACAGUAUGACUUGGCAGGAAACAAGUGGGGAAGACCGAGCACUGAAAGCAGGCAAAGCUCCCUAGAGGAAGAGGAGGUGAAGGGGGGUUGGACUUUGAGGACGGAAAAGUCAGCUUUCCAGUCCCCUUCCCAGCUGCAAGUGCUCUGUGUACCCUUGGAGAAAGGGAGUCCUGGGAUAUGUGAGGUCUGGGGCCUCCUGUUUUUGUGGGCUGUGUGAACACCAGCAACCCCCUUGGGAAGCAGGGUAGACAAGAAGCUCAUACUCACCUGUAAAUACUCAUCAAGAGCUGUUAGAUAGAAAGGCAAUUUUUGACCAACAGAUAAUAAAUUUUGGCUGCUUGUCCACACAGGUAAUGAUUAUAAUGAAAUCCAUUUUCCUGCUAAAUGGAUCUGGAUCAAGUUUUAGAAAAUGGACAGGGGAUGUGAGUCUGCUUGACAAGGAGCUAGAAAUGGUAUCCAUCCGUGACAGGUGCCUCGUUCUUAAGUAAAGCUACAGGGAAGCCAAGGGCAGGGCUGGAGUAGAGGGUGAGAAGGGACUAGUGUUAAACCUGAGCUGAGGCGGGGCCAGGGCUUCUGGGCCCUGCGUUUGUCUGAG